UUCGAAGGGGGCUAGCGUUGCUCGGAAUUACUGGGCGUAAAGCGCACGUAGGCGGCUUUCUAAGUCGGGGGUGAAAUCCUGGAGCUCAACUCCAGAACUGCCUUCGAUACUGGAAAGCUCGAGUCCGGGAGAGGUGAGUGGAACUGCGAGUGUAGAGGUGAAAUUCGUAGAUAUUCGCAAGAACACCAGUGGCGAAGGCGGCUCACUGGCCCGGUACUGACGCUGAGGUGCGAAAGCGUGGGGAGCAAACAGG
rnacentral:rRNA from 1 species